AAAUAAAAUAAUAUAAAAUAAAAAAACAAAAUCCCCAUCGGAGUUAGCGAGCUCGUUCCCAACUCAGUCUCUUCAUGGCUCACCCCCGAGUCACCAACUCGCUCAGUUCCACCACCACAAUUUCACUCUUCGGCAACCACCAUAACCCUAACAAUCAGAAGAAACCCUUUGUUCUUCUUCCAAUUCGCGCUUGCCCAUGCCGCCCACGCCCUUCCCAAUCCCUAAUUCUCCAUAAAGCUACUCCAUCAUCCUACUUCUUCUCUAAUUGCAAGCCGUUGCUCCGGUUCACCCGCCGAACCGGAGCCUCGCCUCCACCGCGCGUGAUUGGUCAGGCCCAACCGGAACACCUUCCACAGAGCAAUGCCGAAGGGGAAGACGUGCUCUUGAAACCUCAAGUUAGUCAGCUUAGGAACAGAAUUGUUUUUGGACUUGCCAUUGGAAUAACCGUAGGUGGUGUUGUUUUGGCUGGAGGGUGGGUUUUUGCAGUUGCCAUGGCUGCUGCUGUUUUUACUGGGGCACGUGAGUAUUUUGAAUUGGUUCGGAGUCAUGGAAUUACUGAAGGAAUGACACCUCCUCCACGCUAUGUCUCACGAGUCUGCUCUGUCGCUUGUGCCCUAUUGCCCUUGUACAUCAUGUAUCGUGGUCAUAUUGAUGUCUCUGUAACUUCUGCUGCAUUUGUUUUGGCCAUGGCAUUACUCUUACAAAGAGGAAGUCCACGCUUUGCGCAGCUAAGUAGUGCCAUAUUUGGAUUAUUUUAUUGUGGCUAUCUUCCGUGCUUUUGGGUUAAGCUUCGAUGUGGUUUAGCAGCUCCAGCCUUGAAUACGAGAAUAGGAGCAACAUGGCCUGUGCUUCUUGGUGGUCAAGCUCAUUGGACAGUUGGUCUUGUGGCAACUUUGAUUUCCAUUAGCAGCAUAAUUGCAGCUGAUACAUUCGCAUUUCUUGGUGGCAAGGUAUUUGGUAGAACACCACUUACCAAUAUAAGUCCUAAGAAGACAUGGGAGGGUACGAUAAUAGGCUUUUGUGGGUGUAUAGUUACUUCUGUUGUGCUUUCAAAAAUUUUCAGUUGGCCAAUGUCAUUAUCAAGUUCAAUAGCUCUUGGUGUACUGAAUUUCUUUGGAUCUGUUUUUGGUGAUCUCACUGAAUCAAUGAUUAAACGCGAUGCGGGUGUGAAAGACUCAGGCUCCUUAAUACCUGGUCAUGGUGGAGUACUAGACAGAGUGGACAGUUAUGUGUUUACUGGUGCGCUUGCAUACUCCUUCGUCAAAACCUUUCUACCUCUAUAUGGGGUAUAACAAGAAAAAUACUGGACUCGUUGACUUUUGUGUCUUCCUAAGGAUUCAACAUGUGAAUUGAACUUGAUAUUUGUGGAAACUUGGGAUAUUUUCAUGAGAUCAGAGCACAAAGAAGAAAAAGAGGACAC